rnacentral:rRNA from 1 species
CAGUAGCCACGGUAAUACGUAGGUGGCAAGCGUUGUCCGGAAUUAUUGGGCGUAAAGGGCUCGCAGGCGGUUUCUUAAGUCUGAUGUGAAAGCCCCUGGCUCAACCGGGGAGGGUCAUUGGAAACUGGGAAACUUGAGUGCAGAAGAGGAGAGUGGAAUUCCACGUGUAGCGGUGAAAUGCGUAGAGAUGUGGAGGAACACCAGUGGCGAAGGCGACUCUCUGGUCUGUAACUGACGCUGAGGAGCGAAAGCGUGGGGAGCGAACAGGAUUAGAUACCCGCGUAGUCCCUGUCUCUUAUAC